AAUAAGAAAAUGGACUACUUUAAAAUUAGAGAUAGCGUUUCCCAUGCUGUCACAGUUGCUAUAAUAACAGAGAUACAAAGAUGAGUCCUCUAUCUAUCUCUAUGAUUCAGCCAAAGAACGUCGCACGCCACAAGUGCGCAUUGUUAUUGACUGGUGUGACGCCAUUAGGGAAAUUGACUUUUGCCCAAUAUUCAAUUAUGUUUAUUAUUAUAAUUAUUAUUAUGUAUAUUGAUAUGAUAUGAAUGCUGAAAUGUCCUAAAUCUUACUAGAAUGUAUGCAGAUUGUGUAAAAAUUGAGCAACGUGACACCUUGUUUAAGCACACUGUUGUUGGGCGGGGUGACUCACCUCUAAAGUCAAGUCAGUCAAGUGUUUACUCACAGUUGAACACUCACUCCGCGAGUUUAGUGUCAGUCCACGCUUCGUUCCCACAGUUAUAGGGCUGGCUGAAUGACGUAACCUGAAUUCCUAUGGUUGGCACUGGCCGUCUGGAAUUCCUCACAUGGAAAUGUAUCUCCUCCUCUCCCACAUGUAAUGCGUGUUAAUGCAUUAUCUUUAUGUUCGAUGAUAACGCUUUUCAAAAAGGACGUUAAAGUCAGCUGGCGUCGAGAGGGAAUCGAAUGGUAUGACUCUUGUCUGUAUCUUUCCAUCGGUUGCAGCCAGAUCUCUGCCGCGUUAUUACGCGUGGCCCGCAGCAGCAAAACUUUGCGUAACAGUAGUCUAUGACAUUCUAUUACCGUGGACUAUUAUCAGGUGAAGAGUGUGUACUUCCUAUGUAAUGGAUAUUACCAUCGCAACGGAUCUGAGUGAGAUAGAGAGAAAGAUUGGUCGGAAGAUUCCAGAGAGUCUGUUUCCUUUUGCCCCGGAUGGACGGAUGAUGAAAGAGAAUACAGAUGGUAGAGAAAAGUGGGACUCACCUGGAGGUGUCAAAGACAUGUCCGACACCACGAGUCUGCAGAGCAACAUGCGACUCCUAAGACAAGAAAUGUCACACCUGCGGGGCAUGGACGUCCGUCUGAUGUGCCAGCUCCUGUCGAUCAACGACGGCAUCGAGGCGACGCGCUGGGACCUGGAGGUGUAGCUGAGGGAUGGUCGCGGUGACUAGCCAGGAGAGUAGCCUGGCCGAGAGCCAGGAGGCAUCCCGGCGAAGCAGCGUGUCCAGUCUGCACUACGGGAGAGAUGGGUUUUGAUGUGAUGACUGUGGGGAGUCAUCUGGGUAGCUUGGCGGAAGACCCAGCGGCGAUACCGACCCUGUCUCGCCCGCUGACCAGGUAGUUGGAGAAGCGAUACCGACCCUGUCUCGCCCGCUGACCAGGUAGUUGGAGAAGCGAUACCGACCCUGUCUCGCCCGCUGACCGGGUAGUUGGAGAAGGAGGCUUGGAGGGAAAGUAAACCCUGGGUUUGGGUCCUGGAAAGCUACUGUACAUAUCCAAACUAUUAUUGCAGACCAGCUCUAACAAACCUGAUUCAGCUAUACUGGCCUAAAAUCAAGAUGUGAUGAUUAGUUGAUUAGUUAAAUCAGGUGUGUUGGGCUGCCUGGAACGGAACAAAAGCAUGCCCACCUUGUACCCUACCUGUAACCUACCUGUAACCUACCUGUCCAGGAACACUUUAUCCAGAGGGUUUCAGAGGACAACGUUAGUGGGAGAGAGUCCAGGACAGUGUGAGAGAGGGUUUCAGAGGACAACGUUAGUGGGAGAGAGUCCAGGACAGUGUGAGUGAGGCUUUCAGAGGACAACAUUAGUGGGAGAGAGUCCAGGACAGUGUGAGAGAGGGUUUCAGAGGACAACGUUAGUGGGAGAGAGUCCAGGACAGUGUGAGAGAGGGUUUCAGAGGACAACGUUAGUGGGAGAGAGUCCAGGACAGUGUGAGAGAGAGUUUCAGAGGACAACGUUAGUGGGAGAGAGUCCAGGACAGUGUAUCCAGAGGGUUUCAGAGGACAACGUUGGUGGGAGAGAGUCCAGGACAGUGUGAGUGAGGCUUUCAGAGGACAACAUUCGUGGGAGAGAGUCCAGGACAGUGUGAGAGAGUCCAGGACAGUGUGAGAGAGGGUUUCAGAGGACAACGUUAGUGGGAGAGAGUCUAGGACAGUGUGAGAGAGAGUUUCAGAGGACAACGUUAGUGGGAGAGAGUCCAGGACAGUGUGAGAGAGUCCAGGACAGUGGGAGAGAGUCCAGGACAGUGGGAGUGAGGGUUUCAGAGGACAACGUUAGUGGGAGAGAGUCCAGGACAGUGUGAGAGAGAGUUUCAGAGGACAACGUUAGUGGGAGAGAGUCCAGGACAGUGUGAGAGAGAGUUUCAGAGGACAACGUUAGUGGGAGAGAGUCCAGGACAGUGUGAGAGAGAGUUUCAGAGGACAACGUUAGUGGGAGAGAGUCCAGGACAGUGGGAGAGAGUCCCAGGACAGUGGGAGAGAGUCCAGGACAGUGUGAGAGAGUCCAGGACAGUGGGAGAGAGUCCAGGACAGUGGGAGAGAGUCCAGGACAGUGGGAGAGAGUCCAGGACAGUGGGAGAGAGUCCAGGACAGUGGGAGAGAGUCCAGGACAGUGGGAGAGAGUCCAGGACAGUGUGGGAGAGUCCAGGACAGUGUGGGAGAGUCCAGGACAGUGGGAGAGAGUCCAGGACAGUGGGAGAGAGUCCAGGACAGUGGGAGAGAGUCCAGGACAGUGGGAGAGAGUCCAGGACAGUGUGAGAGAGUCCAGGACAGUGUGGGAGAGUCCAGGACAGUGGGAGAGAGUCCAGGACAGUGGGAGAGAGUCCAGGACAGUGGGAGAGAGUCCAGGACAGUGGGAGAGAGUCCAGGACAGUGGGAGAGAGUCCAGGACAGUGGGAGAGAGUCCAGGACAGUGGGAGAGAGUCCAGGACAGUGUGGGAGAGUCCAGGACAGUGGGAGAGAGUCCAGGACAGUGGGAGAGAAAUUACAAGAUGAUGUUAUAAUACUGUUGUUGCAUCAGAUGAUUGUUGUUCUGGAAUAGAAUCAAGGUUUUUGAACAAUCGUAUCUGUGGUCUUCUGAGUUGGGCCCUGGCGGAGAUAAGGUCUGAGACAGGAUGUGUGGGGUAGUGUCUGGAACCAUUGUACGUCCUCUCUGAUGUUGCACCUAUCCUGGAAUAGUGUAUGACCCAGAGGCUCACUCCCCUCAGUCUGCUCGUCUAGGCGUGUGGUCAAGAACAUUGGUUUUACUUGAGAUGGGGGUAUCUGAAGCUGGCAAUUGAUUUAUGUCAUAGAAUGAGUUAGUGCUGCUGUACUAUGAAUUACCAGGUAUGAGAUCUUAGGGGGCAAAUUCUGUACAAUAAGAACAGUCUUCAUAGCAAAUGCUGUCUGGCUGGGUGAUACUCCUUUCUCAUGUAUCAAGUCUCACCACCUUGUGACCCGUUCCACACAUCUGUUGUUUGUCAUGUAGACUAAGGGGGUGUAUCUUUUACUAUAUAAGGUGUUUGUCGGGGCUCUCAACGAAUCAUCUAAAGGUGAUUCGUCGACCAGCUUCAUUAUUGCAAUAAUUAAUCAAUGUUAUUAAUACGUUUUGAAUAAAGUAAAUAUCCUGAUUGGUGAUUGA